AUACUCUGGUUUCUCUUCAGAUCGUAUAAAUCUUUCACCUUUUACUAAAGAUUUCUGUGGAGAGGAACAAAUUGCUAUUAAUUUGUUUUUUUAAAAAAGCUACUAAAGAUAAGGUU
rfam:Fukomys damarensis contig91242, whole genome shotgun sequence.